rnacentral:rRNA from 1 species
AACACGUAGGCAACCUGCCCUUCAGACUGGGAUAACUACCGGAAACGGUAGCUAAUACCGGAUAAUUCCUUUCCUCACCUGAGGAAAGGAUGAAAGACGGAGCAAUCUGUUACUGAGGGAUGGGCCUGCGGCGCAUUAGCUAGUUGGUGGGGUAACGGCUCACCAAGGCGACGAUGCGUAGCCGACCUGAGAGGGUGAACGGCCACACUGGGACUGAGACACGGCCCAGACUCCUACGGGAGGCAGCAGUAGGGAAUCUUCCGCAAUGGGCGAAAGCCUGACGGAGCAACGCCGCGUGAGUGAUGAAGGUUUUCGGAUCGUAAAGCUCUGUUGCCAGGGAAGAACGUUCUCUAGAGUAACUGCUAGAGAAGUGACGGUACCUGAGAAGAAAGCCCCGGCUAACUACGUGCCAGCAGCCGCGGUAAUACGUAGGGGGCAAGCGUUGUCCGGAAUUAUUGGGCGUAAAGCGCGCGCAGGCGGCGAUUUAAGUCUGGUGUUUAAACCAUGGGCUCAACCUGUGGUCGCAUCGGAAACUGGAUGGCUUGAGUGCAGAAGAGGAAAGUGGAAUUCCACGUGUAGCGGUGAAAUGCGUAGAGAUGUGGAGGAACACCAGUGGCGAAGGCGACUUUCUGGGCUGUAACUGACGCUGAGGCGCGAAAGCGUGGGGAGCAAACAGG